rnacentral:rRNA from 1 species
UACGUAGGGUGCGAGCGUUGUCCGGAAUUAUUGGGCGUAAAGAGCUUGUAGGCGGUCUGUCGCGUCUGCUGUGAAAAUCCGGGGCUCAACCCCGGACUUGCAGUGGGUACGGGCAGACUAGAGUGUGGUAGGGGAGACUGGAAUUCCUGGUGAUAGCGGUGAAAUGCGCAGAUAUCAGGAGGAACACCGAUGGCGAAGGCAGGUCUCUGGGC